rnacentral:rRNA from 1 species
UGCGAGGGGUGCAAGCGUUGCUCGGAAUUAUUGGGCGUAAAGGGUAGGUAGGUGGUCUCAUUUGUCUGGGGUGAAAGCCUUGAGCUUAACUCAAGAAGUGCCCCGGAAACGGUGAGACUGGAGUCCUGGAGAGGGUCGUGGAAUUCCCGGUGUAGCGGUGAAAUGCGUAGAGAUCGGGAGGAACACCAGAGGCGAAGGCGGCGACCUGGACAGGCACUGACACUCAACUACGAAAGCGUGGGGAGCAAACAGG